rnacentral:rRNA from 1 species
AUUGAACGCUGGCGGCAUGCUUUACACAUGCAAGUCGGACGGCAGCACGGAGGAGCUUGCUUCUUGGGUGGCGAGUGGCGCACGGGUGAGUAACGCAUCGGAACGUACCGAGUAAUGGGGGAUAACUGUCCGAAAGGACAGCUAAUACCGCAUACGCCCUGAGGGGGAAAGCGGGGGAUCUUAGGACCUCGCGUUAUUCGAGCGGCCGAUGUCUGAUUAGCUGGUUGGCGGGGUAAAGGCCCACCAAGGCGACGAUCAGUAGCGGGUCUGAGAGGAUGAUCCGCCACACUGGGACUGAGACACGGCCCAGACUCCUACGGGAGGCAGCAGUGGGGAAUUUUGGACAAUGGGCGCAAGCCUGAUCCAGCCAUGCCGCGUGUCUGAAGAAGGCCUUCGGGUUGUAAAGGACUUUUGUCAGGGAAGAAAAGGGGCAUGUUAAUACCGUGCUCUGAUGACGGUACCUGAAGAAUAAGCACCGGCUAACUACGUG